ACAUUUAGACACACAUUCACACAUACACCCACACACAUUCACAGUCAUACACACAUAUUCACACACAUACACCCACACACAUUCACAGUCAUGCACACAUUUACACACACAUUCACACACAUACACACCCACACACUUUCACAGACAUACACCCACAUUUUCACACUUUCACACACAUACACCCACACACAUUCACACUCAUACACCCAUUCACGUUCACACUCAUACACACAUUCAGACACACAUUCAGACACACAUUCAGACACACACAUACACACCCACACACAUGCAUUCAGACACACACCCACACACAUUCACACUUAUACACACACGUUCACACACAUACACCCACAUUCACAC
rnacentral:lncRNA from 1 species